UACGUAGGGAGCAAGCGUUAUCCGGAUUUACUGGGUGUAAAGGGCGAGUAGGCGGGCUGGCAAGUUGGGAGUGAAAUCCCGGGGCUUAACCCCGGAACUGCUUUCAAAACUGCUGGUCUUGAGUGAUGGAGAGGCAGGCGGAAUUCCGUGUGUAGCGGUGAAAUGCGUAGAUAUACGGAGGAACACCAGUGGCGAAGGCGGCCUGCUGGACAUUAACUGACGCUGAGGAGCGAAAGCGUGGGGAGCAAACAGG
rnacentral:rRNA from 2 species